rnacentral:rRNA from 2 species
GAGUUUGAUCCUGGCUCAGGAUGAACGCUGGCGGCGUGCCUAAUACAUGCAAGUCGAGCGAGCGGCGGACGGGUGAGUAACACGUAGGUAACCUACCUAUAAGACUGGGAUAACUUCGGGAAACCGGAGCUAAUACCGGAUAAUGAAAGUCACUUAUAGAUGGACCUGCGCCGUAUUAGCUAGUUGGUAAGGUAACGGCUUACCAAGGCAACGAUACGUAGCCGACCUGAGAGGGUGAUCGGCCACACUGGAACUGAGACACGGUCCAGACUCCUACGGGAGGCAGCAGUAGGGAAUCUUCCGCAAUGGGCGAAAGCCUGACGGAGCAACGCCGCGUGAGUGAUGAAGGUCUUCGGAUCGUAAAACUCUGUUAUUAGGGAAGAUGACGGUACCUAAUCAGAAAGCCACGGCUAACUACGUGCCAGCAGCCGCGGUAAUACGUAGGUGGCAAGCGUUAUCCGGAAUUAUUGGGCGUAAAGCGCGCGUAGGCGGUUUUUUAAGUCUGAUGUGAAAGCCCACGGCUCAACCGUGGAGGGUCAUUGGAAACUGGAAAACUUGAGUGCAGAAGAGGAAAGUGGAAUUCCAUGUGUAGCGGUGAAAUGCGCAGAGAUAUGGAGGAACACCAGUGGCGAAGGCGACUUUCUGGUCUGACUGACGCUGAUGUGCGAAAGCGUGGGGAUCAAACAGGAUUAGAUACCCUGGUAGUCCACGCCGUAAACGAUGAGUGCUAAGUGUUAGGGCCUUAGUGCUGCAGCUAACGCAUUAAGCACUCCGCCUGGGGAGUACGACCGCAAGGUUGAAACUCAAAGGAAUUGACGGGGACCCGCACAAGCGGUGGAGCAUGUGGUUUAAUUCGAAGCAACGCGAAGAACCUUACCAAAUCUUGACAUCGACAGGUGGUGCAUGGUUGUCGUCAGCUCGUGUCGUGAGAUGUUGGGUUAAGUCCCGCAACGAGCGCAACCCUUAAGCUUAGUUGCCAUCAUGGGCACUCUAAGUUGACUGCCGGUGACAAACCGGAGGAAGGUGGGGAUGACGUCAAAUCAUCAUGCCCCUUAUGAUUUGGGCUACACACGUGCUACAAUGGACAACAAAGGGCAGCGAAACCGCGAGGUCAAGCAAAUCCCAUUUGUUCUCAGUUCGGAUGUAGUCUGCAACUCGACUACAGAAGCUGGAAUCGCUAGUAAUCGUAGAUCAGCAUGCUACGGUGAAUACGUUCCCGGGUCUUGUACACACCGCCCGUCACACCACGAGAGUUUGUAACACCCGAAGCCGGUGAGUAGCUAGCCGUCGAAGGUGGGACAAAUGAUUGGGGUGAAGUCGUAACAAGGUAGCCGUAUCGGAAGGUGCGGCUG